UUGCCCUAGUAACGGCGAGUGAAGCGGCAACAGCUCAAAUUUGAAAUCUGGCUCUUUCAGAGUCCGAGUUGUAAUUUGCAGAGGGCGCUUUGGCUUUGGCAGCGGUCCAAGUUCCUUGGAACAGGACGUCACAGAGGGUGAGAAUCCCGUACGUGGUCGCUAGCUAUUGCCGUGUAAAGCCCCUUCGACGAGUCGAGUUGUUUGGGAAUGCAGCUCUAAAUGGGAGGUAAAUUUCUUCUAAAGCUAAAUACUGGCCAGAGACCGAUAGCGCACAAGUAGAGUGAUCGAAAGAUGAAAAGCACUUUGGAAAGAGAGUCAAACAGCACGUGAAAUUGUUGAAAGGGAAGCGCUUGCAGCCAGACUUGCUUGCAGUUGCUCAUCCGGGCUUUUGCCCGGUGCACUCUUCUGCAGGCAGGCCAGCAUCAGUUUGGGCGGUGGGAUAAAGGUCUCUGUCACGUACCUCUCUUCGGGGAGGCCUUAUAGGGGAGGCGACAUACCACCAGCCUGGACUGAGGUCCGCGCAUCUGCUAGGAUGCUGGCGUAAUGGCUGUAAGCGGCCCGUCUUGAAACACGGACCAAGGAGUCUAACAUCUAUGCGAGUGUUUGGGUGUCAAGCCCGAGCGCGUAAUGAAAGUGAACGGAGGUGGGAACCCGCAAGGGUGCACCAUCGACCGAUCCUGAUGUCUUCGGAAGGAUUUGAGUAAGAGCAUGGCUGUUGGGACCCGAAAGAUGGUGAACUAUGCUUGAAUAGGGUGAAGCCAGAGGAAACUCUGGUGGAGGCUCGCAGCGGUUCUGACGUGCAAAUCGAUCGUCAAAUUUGGGCAUAGGGGCGAAAGACUAAUCGAACUAUCUAGUAGCUGGUUCCUGCCG
rnacentral:rRNA from 1 species